UUGGAGGGCAAGUCUGGUGCCAGCAGCCGCGGUAAUUCCAGCUCCAAUAGCGUAUAUUAAAGUUGUUGCAGUUAAAAAGCUCGUAGUUGAAUUUCGAGACCGGCUUAUUGGUCGUGCUUUUGUACGUACUGGUAUAAUCGGUUUCUCCUUUCUGACGAACUAUAAUGCCAUUAAUUUGGUGUUAUAGGGAAUCAGGACUGUUACUUUGAAAAAAUUAGAGUGUUUAAAGCAGGCUCACGCUUGAAUACAUUAGCAUGGAAUAAUGAAAUAGGACGGACUGAUUCUAUUUCGUUGGUUUCUAGGAUCACCGUAAUGAUUAAUAGGGAUAGUUGGGGGCAUUAGUAUUCAAUUGUCAGAGGUGAAAUUCUUGGAUUUAUUGAAGACUAACUACUGCGAAAGCAUUUGCCAAGGAUGUUUUCAUUAAUCAAGAACGAAAGUUAGGGGAUCGAAGACGAUCAGAUACCGUCGUAGUCUUAACCAUAAACUAUGCCGACUAGGGAUCGGAUGAUGUUAAUUUUUUAAUGACUCAUUCGGCGCCUUACGGGAAAC
rnacentral:rRNA from 1 species